AACCCCGUCUGAGAGCGCGGCCAAAGAGGACAAACCCGCAGAGGAGAAACCCUCGCCCUCCUCUACACCCGCCAGUUCUGGUUCUUCACCAAAUGCAAACAUAUUUGAAGAGGCGACAUCUGCGCUGGUGACGGGUCAGUCCUACGAGAACAUGGUGAUGGAGAUCAUGCUGAUGGGAUACGAGAGAGACAGAGUGGUGGCGGCACUGAGAGCUAGUUUCAACAAUCCUGACCGCGCCGUCGAGUACCUGCUCACGGUGAGAGACCGACAGUCUGCAUAUAACACCACAAAUCAGCGGAUUACAGGGAUUUAAGGCAAAACACAUCAGGUUAGGAGGGUACAGUUUUAAUUUUUAGGAAUCGUAAUACUUUCACCAGUUGAUUAAUCAAGUCAAGUCACCUUUAUUUGUAUAGCUCUGUAUACAGUACUGAUCGUGUCAA